rnacentral:rRNA from 1 species
GAUGAACGCUGGCGGCGUGCCUAAUACAUGCAAGUCGAGCGAACAGAUGAGGAGCUUGCUCCUCUGACGUUAGCGGCGGACGGGUGAGUAACACGUGGAUAACCUACCUAUAAGACUGGGAUAACUUCGGGAAACCGGAGCUAAUACCGGAUAAUAUAUUGAACCGCAUGGUUCAAUAGUGAAAGACGGUUUUGCUGUCACUUAUAGAUGGAUCCGCGCCGCAUUAGCUAGUUGGUAAGGUAACGGCUUACCAAGGCAACGAUGCGUAGCCGACCUGAGAGGGUGAUCGGCCACACUGGAACUGAGACACGGUCCAGACUCCUACGGGAGGCAGCAGUAGGGAAUCUUCCGCAAUGGGCGAAAGCCUGACGGAGCAACGCCGCGUGAGUGAUGAAGGUCUUCGGAUCGUAAAACUCUGUUAUUAGGGAAGAACAAAUGUGUAAGUAACUAUGCACGUCUGGACGGUACCUAAGCAGAAAGCCACGGCUAACUACGU